rnacentral:rRNA from 1 species
UACGGGGGGGGCAAGCGUUGUUCGGAAUUACUGGGCGUAAAGGGCUCGUAGGCGGCCAACUAAGUCAGACGUGAAAUCCCUCGGCUUAACCGGGGAACUGCGUCUGAUACUGGUUGGCUUGAAUCCGGGAGAGGGAUGUGGAAUUCCUGGUGUAGCGGUGAAAUGCGCAGAUAUCAGGAGGAACACCGAUGGCGAAGGCAGGUCUCUGGGCCAUAACUGACGCUGAGAAGCGAAAGCAUGGGGAGCGAACAGG